UAAACUAGAUCACCAUUUCCUCUGCCCCUCCCAGCCAUCACUGUCAGCAGGUCAAUUAGAAUUACAUGUGUACAUCACUCCUCCAGGCCGCCAGCCGGGUCCUUCUGGACACAGUUGGAUACAGACGGACUUGCGUCACUCAAGGGAGCUGCUGCUAUCAUUCUGUCAGAUUGCUGCGUUCUGGCUCCGCUUGCUAACCAUGCUAUCUCCGCCCCAAUAUGCAUGCCUCAUGGGGUGUGUCCUGUACUCUGAUCAGAUAUUCAGUGAGACUUGCUGGUUAUUUGGUGCUAAGCUGCCAACAGUCCGACACUGACACAUUGUGGCCACCCCACUGCACGUGUAAGUCCCGAAUCAACGGACCCUUCACUUUCUCCAGUGUUCUCUGUGUGGAGAUGCCCCGUUUGUUGUCAUUGUUGCACGGUGUAUACUGGUGCGUAAGAAGGCGUCAUUUUGGAUUGAGAAUCUAGUUCUGGUCUCUCAGUAAUUCAACUGUAAAUGAGCUAUUAAUGAUUCUUCGCUCCCAUUUCAGGAAUUGACUGAAAAAAGACUAAACCUGGCAGUGACUCUAAGCCAAGACGUAGGACACCUCAAGAAGCUGGUUGUGUCAAUAAGCCAAAUGCUCUCAAAGGGAAAAGAACACUAUCAGCUAGUAGAAUGAAGUCACGGGGGAAUCAUUAAUUUGAGGAUAGCAGAAGGCAUUGUAUUAUAUUUUGCCAAAUUAAAGCCUUAUUUAUGUUUUCACCCUUUCUACUUCGUCAAACACUGAACAGAGUUUUGUCAUUUCUAAUUCUUGUUAGACUACUGAUUUAAAGAAGAAAAACUCUGUAGACACCUCCAGAAUUUAGUUUUAUAAUAUAAAUUGUUUGGAUAAUUAGACCUCUACAUUCCUGGAGAUACGGUAAAUGUAUAAUCUUUUAUCUUUUAUUUUGCUCAGUAAAACUUGUUCAGAAAAAUCCAGUGGGGAAAUGGCAACAACGGAAUAAAUAUAACAUUUUAAUACUGACGUUGUACACUGUUUUACUUAGAUACAUUUUGGGACUAGCUGCCUCUGACUUCAGCCUCAAGUAAACACUCCUUUUUUGGUUGCUAAUGUAAUCGGUUUUUGUAAUGGUGUCAGCGAUUAAAGGGAUGCUUAUUAUUCAGAAA